AAGGCUUUAACUUAAUUAAAGUAUCUGGGUUGCAUUCAGAUUAUGUGGGAUAAAGGCCUGCAAGUCUUA
rnacentral:tRNA from 1 species